rnacentral:rRNA from 1 species
GACGAACGCUGGCGGCGUGCCUAACACAUGCAAGUCUAGGGAGAAAGGGGUAGCAAUAUCCCCGGUAAACCGGCGCAAGGGUGAGUAACGCGUAGGCAACCUGCCCUGGGGAUGGGAAUAACUCCGAGAAAUCGGGGCUAAAACCCAAUAAUGCAGCGGCAUCACAUGGUGAUGUUGUUAAACGUCUUCGGACGCCUCAGGAUGGGCCUGCGUCCCAUUAGGUAGUUGGCGGGGUAACGGCCCACCAAGCCGACGAUGGGUAGCUGGUCUGAGAGGACGAUCAGCCACACUGGAACGGAGACACGGUCCAGACUCCUACGGGAGGCAGCAGGGAGGAAUAUUGCGCAAUGCUCGAAAGAGUGACGCAGCGACGCCGCGUGAAGGAUGAAGGCCCUCUGGGUCGUAAAACUCUGUUGUUAGGGAAGAACAAGUGCUAGUUGAAUAAGCUGGCACCUUGACGGUACCUAACCAGAAAGCCACGGCUAACUACGUGCCAGCCGCCGCAGUAACAC